GGUGAACGCUGGCGGCGUGCUUAACACAUGCAAGUCGAACGGGAGUAUCGAAGAAGCUUGCUUUAGAGAUACUUUAGUGGCGGACGGGUGAGUAACGCGUGAGGAGCUGUCCUAUGCAGGGGGACAACAGUUGGAAACGACUGCUAAUACCCCAUAAGCCGAGAGGUAAAAGGAUUUAUCCGGCAGAGGAGGUACUCGCGUCCUAUCAGCUAGUAGGUGAGGUAACGGCUCACCUAGGCGAAGACGGGUAGCCGGCCUGAGAGGGCGAACGGCCACACUGGAACUGAGAUACGGUCCAGACUCCUACGGGAGGCAGCAGUGGGGAAUAUUGGGCAAUGGGGGGAACCCUGACCCAGCGACGCCGCGUGGGUGAAGAAAUCCCUCGGGAUGUAAAGCCCUGUUGUAUGGGAAGAGCGGAAGACGGUGCCAUACGAGGAAGCCCCGGCACACUACGUGCCAGCCGCCGCCGUAA
rnacentral:rRNA from 1 species